rnacentral:rRNA from 1 species
GUAGGGGGCAAGCGUUGUCCGGAUUUACUGGGCGUAAAGAGCGUGUAGGCGGCCAAGCAGGUCCGUUGUGAAAACUGGAGGCUUAACCUCCAGACGUCGACGGAAACCGCGUGGCUAGAGUCCGGAAGAGGAGAGUGGAAUUCCUGGUGUAGCGGUGAAAUGCGCAGAUAUCAGGAAGAACACCAAUGGCGAAGGCAGCUCUCUGGGACGGUACUGACGCUGAGACGCGAAAGCGUGGGGAGCGAACAGGAUUAGAUACCCUGGUAGUCCACGCCGUAAACGAUGGGUGCUAGGUGUGGGAGGUGUCGACUCCUUCCGUGCCGUAGCUAACGCAUUAAGCACCCCGCCUGGGGAGUACGGCCGCAAGGCUA